rnacentral:tRNA from 1 species
CGGUGUAGCUCAGGGGUAGAGCGUUUCCUUGGUAAGGAAGAGGUCGUGGGUUCAAUUCCCAUCGUUG